rnacentral:rRNA from 1 species
GUAGGUGGCAAGCGUUGUCCGGAAUUAUUGGGCGUAAAGCGCGCGCAGGCGGUUCUUUAAGUCUGAUGUGAAAGCCCACGGCUCAACCGUGGAGGGUCAUUGGAAACUGGAGAACUUGAGUACAGAAGAGGAGAGCGGAAUUCCACGUGUAGCGGUGAAAUGCGUAGAGAUGUGGAGGAACACCAGUGGCGAAGGCGGCUUUCUGGUCUGUAACUGACGCUGAGGCGCGAAAGCGUGGGGAGCAAACAGGAUUAGAUACCCUGGUAGUCCACGCCGUAAACGAUGAGUGCUAAGUGUUAGGGGGUUUCCGCCCCCCUUAGUGCUGCAGCUAACGCAUUAAGCACUCCGCCUGGGAGUACGACCGCAAGGUUG